rnacentral:rRNA from 1 species
UACGUAGGGUGCAAGCGUUGUCCGGAAUUAUUGGGCGUAAAGAGCUCGUAGGCGGUUUGUCGCGUCGGGGAGUGAAAACCAGGUGCUUAACACCUGGCUUGCUUUCGAUACGGGGCAGACUAGAGGUAUGCAGGGGAGAACGAAUUCCUGGUGUAGCGGUGAAAUGCGCAGAUAUCAGGAGGAACACCGGUGGCGAAGGCGGUUCUCUGGGCAUUACCUGACGUGAGGAGCGAAAGUGUGGGGGAGCGAACAGG